rnacentral:rRNA from 1 species
CAGCCGCCGCGGGAAUACGUAGGUCCCGAGCGUUGUCCGGAUUUAUUGGGCGUAAAGCGAGCGCAGGCGGUUUGAUAAGUCUGAAGUUAAAGGCUGUGGCUCAACCAUAGUUCGCUUUGGAAACUGUCAAACUUGAGUGCAAAAGGGGAGAGUGGAAUUCCAUGUGUAGCGGUGAAAUGCGUAGAUAUAUGGAGGAACACCGGUGGCGAAAGCGGCUCUCUGGUCUGUAACUGACGCUGAGGCUCGAAAGCGUGGGGAGCGAACAGGAUUAGAUACCCCUGUAGUCCCUGUCUCUUAUACA